GAGUACAACUACUCCUGUUUUCUGCUAAUAAACUAGUAAUUGUUCCAGCUAAACUAGCACCUUUCUGGUAUUCCAGGUAGGAAGGAAGCCUUCAGGACACUGAAGGCUGCAGUAGCUGUAGCAGAAUUUUGGUCCAGUUUUUUCUUCAUUGACCAUUCUUCAUGACACUGAGAAGUGUGCUGUUAUUCACGUUUGCUGCACCUAGAAGCCAACGGGAUUAAUGUAUGCCUCUUACUAUAAUUACUGAAUCAGAGAAUCAAUUAGAUUGGAAAAAACCUCUGAGAUCAUCGAAUCCUACCUAUGACUAAACACCACCAUGCCAACUAGACCAAGCGCCACGUCCAGUAUUUCCUUAAACACCUCCAGGAAUGGUGACUCCACCACCUCCCUGGGCAGCCCAUGGCAGUGUCUGGUCUAAUCAGCCUUUCUGUGGAGAAAUCCUUCUGAUGUCCAACCUGAACAUCCCCUGACACACCCUGAGGCCAUGUCCUGUCCUGUCACGGGUUACCUGGGAGAAGAGACCAACUCCACCUGGUUAUGAAACAUAAACUUUAAGGUAUUUAGAAAAAUUUUAGAGGAGCUAAGAUUUUAGUUAGAGUUAAGCCUUAUUUGAGUUAAUUAAACUAAAUAGGUAGGCCUUGAUGAAGUUAAGAGUUAGUAGUUAACUAAUAACUAAUUGCUUGUCAACACAAUGUUUGGUUAGCUGGGUUUAUAAUGAAGAAUAUACAAACUAAUAAAUAGCUUUUAGGAACAUAAGAAAAUUAUGGGCCUCCUCUGUUCUGAAACCAAUUGAAGACAAGGAAUGGGAGUUCUACCAGGGCUUCAUGUGUCAUAUUUGCAUUGAAAAGGUAGAAAGGUGGUCAGAAAGAGGAAGACUUCAGUUUUUACUCAUUUUGGGACUCCUCUCCAUGAAAGGGGCCACCGACCCAUUUCAAGGAACAAACUACGCAUGCUUAGUAGCUUUUGAACUAAUUAGCAUACGAAGCGGGGAACGGGUUGUACCAAAAUUAUGAAUAUGUAUUUGUAUUUUGGGUAUUCAACACUUGUAUAGAUAAAAGGACUCUGUAAACACCUGUAGAUCGCGGUGUGUAUUUGGAAGCUAUCCCGUACGCUGCCCGGCCUCGCAAUGAACACACACUUUCUAACUUUAAA